CGAGAAGACCCCAUUGAGCUUUACUAUUAACUUGUAUUGCCAGAGCAAUAAAGGGAACCCCAAAGGUUCCCGGGAUCCAACGGAUCCCUUAGGUACCCUGUCCUUUGCUUCAUAAUAAAAUUGUGAAGACUAAGUGGAAAAAGAUAAAACAAGGGAUUAAAAAAAACGGGUCUCUGGGCCCCGGCUCUCAAAAGGCCCCUUGGCUUCUUGUCCCAAUUUAUAUGAAAAACCACUCUUUUUAUUAAGAUUACUGUCUAAAACCGUACAAGUAAGAUAGUUUGGUUGGGGCGACCGCCUUCGAAAAAGUAUCGAAGGCGCACAUAAGAUUAGUCCGGAGGGGGGUCCUACGAAUCCCCCUCCCGGGGGCAAUGCCCCAAAAAAGAUUAGUUUGACUGAAAGGGCUACAACCCGAACAGGCGCCUGGGGGACCCUUUUGGCGGGUCAUAGUGAUCCGUUGUUAUAUUGUGGGAUUGACAACGAUCAACGAAGAAAAGUUACCAUGGGGAUAACAGCGUA
rnacentral:rRNA from 1 species